rnacentral:rRNA from 1 species
CCUACGUGUGGCAGCAGUAGGGAAUCUUCCACAAUGGGCGAAAGCCUGAUGGAGCAACGCCGCGUGGGUGAAGAAGGUCUUCGGAUCGUAAAACCCUGUUGUUAGAGAAGAAAGUGCGUGAGAGUAACUGUUCACGUUUCGACGGUAUCUAACCAGAAAGCCACGGCGAACUACGUGCCAGAAGCCGCGGUAAUACGUAGGGGGUAAGCGUUAUCCGGUUUUAUGGGGCGUAAAGGGAACGCAGGCGGUCUUUUAAGUCUGAUGUGAAAGCCUUCGGCUUAACCGGAGUAGUGCAUUGGAGACUGGGAGACUUGAGUGCAGAUGAGGAGGGUGGAACUCCAUGUGUAGCGGUGAAAUGCGUAGAUAUCUGGAAGAACACCAGUGGCGAAGGCGGCUCUCUGGUCUGUAACUGACGCUGAGGUUCGAAAGCGUGGGUAGCAAACAGGAUUAGAUACCCCUGUAGUC